UAAUACGUAGGUGGCAAGCGUUGUCCGGAUUUACUGGGUGUAAAGGGCGCGUAGGCGGACUGGCAAGUCAGAUGUGAAAUCCAUGAGCUCAACUCAUGAACUGCAUUUGAAACUGUUGGUCUUGAGUAUCGGAGAGGCAAGCGGAAUUCCUAGUGUAGCGGUGAAAUGCGUAGAUAUUAGGAGGAACACCAGUGGCGAAGGCGGCUUGCUGGACGACAACUGACGCUGAGGCGCGAAAGCGUGGGGAGCAAACAGG
rnacentral:rRNA from 1 species